rnacentral:tRNA from 1 species
UUCUUUAUAGCUUAUAUAAAGCUUGGAUUUUGUAAAUCUAAGAAAGGAUUUCCUUAAAGAAU